rnacentral:rRNA from 1 species
CACAUGAAGUAGCAAUACGGAUGGUGGCGACCGGCGCACGGGUGAGUAACGCGUAUGCAACCUGCCUACAACAGGGGAAUAACCCGUUGAAAGACGGACUAAUACCCCAUAACACAGGGAUCCCGCAUGGGAAUAUUUGUUAAAGAUUUAUCGGUUGUAGAUGGGCAUGCGUUCCAUUAGCUUGUUGGUGAGGUAACGGCUCACCAAGGCAACGAUGGAUAGGGGAACUGAGAGGUUUAUCCCCCACACUGGUACUGAGACACGGACCAGACUCCUACGGGAGGCAGCAGUGAGGAAUAUUGGUCAAUGGACGCAAGUCUGAACCAGCCACGUCGCGUGAAGGAAGACGGCCCUACGGGUUGUAAACUUCUUUUGUAAGGGAAUAAAGUGUAGUACGUGUACUAUUUUGCAUGUACCUUACGAAUAAGGAUCGGCUAACUCCGUGCCAGCAGCCG